UGUGAUGAAUCGUGGAUUUAGGCGUAUGAGCCCGAAAGUAAACAGCAGUCGACUGUAUGGGUGCACGAAACACUGCCAAGCAAAUGAUCGCCUGCUUUUUUUUCGGAAAAACUGGACAUGUCGCAGAACAGUCUAUUCUGAGUAGUACACAACCAUUUAUUUGCCAGUUAUCUUCCAAGAUAUCAAGAAACCCAACCGUCGAAGACGAAAGCGAGCUCUCACAUAUCGGCGCAAAUAACUGAAUUUUUGAGCACUCAAAACAUCGAUUUGAUGAGUCAUCCGCCGUAUAUUAUCUACUAUAUUAUCUACUUCUAAUGGCAUUUCAUUUCAGUCUUACAUUGUUUCGCUCGGCCUACAUGUUCUUGAGGGAUGGGGUGGCGCUUCAGACGUUGGUGAAGGCGAGAUAGUUGUGCAGUUUUAGCCCUCUGAUACGAGUUUGGCUGCUGCUUUUGUGAUAAGUGAAAGGGUCAACCCUCUUCCGAAAUCAAAAAAUUACAUAGCCGAUUUGGAGACUAGCUAAACAGGUCCGUUUGCACAAAGACUAUUUUUUAAUCUAGUCGAAAGCAGUACCUUCUCUAAGAUAUUACGUUGAGCGAUGUAAACUCGAACUCGACUGAUAAGAGGAAACAUUAAGGAAACCCCUUGAAUAGUUCCAUACAUGUUGAUACGGAAGAAGUUUGCAUUGUUUUAGAAUGGAAAGUUCGCGGAAUUUUAAAUCAAAAAACUAGUCUACAAAGAAUGUGAGCAACUAUCAAUCCAAAGAUUCAAAGAAACGAAGGAACCUACUACCGUCUUUGUGAUAUGCGUUUGAGUCGCAUUGUGGAACACUCUUGCAAUUGAAACUUUUUAAGAUUGUAAACUGCCAAUAACGUAAAUACAUCGAAAAAUGGGGUCUCAAGGGGGCUCAAUACCAGUGUGACAAAGCAUCAUCACCUUUAUCAAUUGAUCGGAAAUAGAAAUAUGUCAUGACAUGGCACAAAGGCAAACAGUGAGACGAGUUAAGACAAGCUAAUGUGUUUUGUUUGACACUUUCUUUACAUAAUUUAUUUACAAGUCGAAAAUUUGAAUUUCGAUCAAUGAAUUUCGUUCAUGGCCAGCACAACGAUCAUGCCAAACACACAACAAAUGCUGGCUACAGCGAAAGCCAUUCGACACGCAUAGUAGUAGUACUGUUAACAUGGCCUUAUCAUUUAUGUUUAUGAUUCCGUUGUUGUUUUAUCGCUCCUCUCGGGGGUUUCGCUUUGUCUUAUUGAAAAUUAAUAAAAUUAUGUAAAUUAAA